rnacentral:misc_RNA from 1 species
GCAAACUUGGUCAUUUAGAGGAAGUAAAAGUCGUAACAAGGUUUCCGUAGGUGAACCUGCGGAAGGAUCAUUGCCGAACGGACGCCGUGUGUAAAAAUCUCUUCUCGAGAUGGCUACAUACGGUGUCUUUUUCGACCAACCCAUGUGAACCUGUUUAUGUGUUUAACACCACUCGAUGAUUCGUCAUCAGGUGGCUGUCCAAACCCAUUUUAACAAACCACAUUUCUGAAAAACUCUUGACUGAGACUCAUAGGUCACGCCUAAAAACGUUGAUCUCAAAAACCUAACCAUUACAACUUUUAACAACGGAUAUCUUGGCUCGCGCAUCGAUGAAGAACGCAGC